rnacentral:rRNA from 1 species
UACGUAGGGACCAAGCGUUGUUCGGAUUUACUGGGCGUAAAGGGCACGUAGGCGGCUUGACAAGUCACUUGUGAAAUCUCUGGGCUUAACCCAGAACGGCCAAGUGAAACUGUCGAGCUAGAGUGUAGAAGGGGCAAUCGGAAUUCUUGGUGUAGCGGUGAAAUGCGUAGAUAUCAAGAGGAACACCUGAGGUGAAGACGGGUUGCUGGUCCGAAACUGACGCUGAGGAGCGAAAGCGUGGGGAGCAAACAGG